CCUACGGGAGGCAGCAGUGAGGAAUAUUGGUCAAUGGCCGCAGGGCUGAACCAGCCAAGUCGCGUGAGGGACGACUGCCCUAUGGGUUGUAAACCUCUUUUGUAAGGGAACAAUACGUGCUACGUGUAGCAUUUUGCGUGUACCUUAUGAAUAAGCAUCGGCUAACUCCGUGCCAGCAGCCGCGGUAAUACGGAGGAUGCGAGCGUUAUCCGGAUUUAUUGGGUUUAAAGGGUGCGUAGGCGGUUUGUUAAGUUAGUGGUAAAAUUUCGGGGCUUAACCUUGCAGUGCCAUUAAGACUGGUAGUCUUGAGUUCAGAAGAGGUAGGCGGAAUACGUGAAGUAGCGGUGAAAUGCUUAGAUAUAACGUAGAACUCCGAUAGCGAAGGCAGCUUACCAGACUGCGACUGACGCUGAAGCACGAGAGUGUGGGUAGCGAACAGGAUUAGAUACCCCAGUAGUC
rnacentral:rRNA from 1 species